rnacentral:rRNA from 1 species
AACAGCUCAAAUUUGAAAUCUGGCUCUUCCGGAGUCCCAGUUGUAAUUUGUAGAAGAUGCUUUGGGUUGUGGGUUCGGCCUAAGUUCCUUGGAACAGGACGUCCUAGAGGGUGAGAAUGUAUGUGGCCGAGGCCCGCGCCUAUGUAAAGCUCUUUCAACGAGUCGAGUUGGUUGGCAAUGCAGCUCAAUAUGGGUGGUAAAUUUCAUCUAAAGCUAAAUAUGGGCCAGAGACCGAUAGCGCACAAGUAGAGUGAUCGAACGAUGAAAAGCACUUUGGAAAGAGAGUUAAACAGUACGUGAAAUUGUUGAAAGGGAAGCGCUUGCAACCAGACUUGGGCGCUGUCGAUCACCCCGAGUCCUCUCGAGUGCACUCGACAGCGCACAGGCCAGCAUCGGUUCGGGUGGCUGGAUAAAGGCCGUAGGAACGUGGCUCCCUUCGGGGAGUGUUAUAGCCUACGGUGCCAUGCAGCCCAGCCGGACCGAGAACCGCGUUCGGGCUAGGAUGCUGGCGUAAUGGUUGUAAGCGACCCG